rnacentral:rRNA from 1 species
UACGUAGGUCCCGAGCGUUGUCCGGAUUUAUUGGGCGUAAAGGGAGCGUAGACGGCAGAGCAAGUCUGAAGUGAAAGCCCGCGGCCCAACUGCGGGACUGCUUUGGAAACUGCCCGGCUAGAGUGCUGGAGAGGUAAGCGGAAUUCCUAGUGUAGCGGUGAAAUGCGUAGAUAUUAGGAGGAACACCAGUGGCGAAGGCGGCUUACUGGACGGUAACUGACGUUGAGGCUCGAAAGCGUGGGGAGCAAACAGG